CAGAUAUAUAUAAACAGUUUGAAAGGCUGGAUACUGGUAACUGGGGAAAGAUUACCCUUGCUGAUCUUAUGGAAAGUCGUCACUGAGUUUCGAGGACAGACGUCUGCAUUGAAUUGAAGCCAACAAGGACAUUAUUCAUGGUAGUCGCAAACUAUUUUGUCACAUAUGAGGCUGUACAAAUUUUGUGAUUACAACAAUGACAAACAUGCAGUUAGAAGCUCCAAUCAUGGGCAUUUGUAGUAAAGAAACAAUGACUCUUUGACUCAGGUCCCUCCAGAAACUGAUAGACAGCCUUGGCAAUCUUUCCAGCUCAAAGGCUCAAAUCAAUUUCUUCUUUCCAGCUCAAAGGCUCAAAUCAAUUUCUUCAGGGGUUAGUCCCGGUUUUAAACUAGGUAGAAAUUUUUCUACCAAAAAUUUUGGCGUGAUGUUUGUCAAAUGGCUAGAUUGAUUAGGAAUUGCACUUAUGUCAUGUUUACUGGGGAGGAUUGAAUAGUGCUAG
rnacentral:lncRNA from 1 species